rnacentral:tRNA from 1 species
AAGAUAUUAGUAAACACAUUACAUAACUUUGUCAAGGUUAAAUCACAGACUCAGCCCUGUAUAUCUUA